ACAACUAUGCUUACUACUAUACUCAACAUGUCAAAUCAUUUUGCUACCUAAAAUCUGAAAAAUCUCUCUUUCUCUGAUUUCUUCUUCUUCCACCUUCCUCCCUCAUCCUCCCUCUAACACAUGUUCGUCUUCCACCUUCCUCCCUCCGUCUCCCUCUAAUAUAUUUUCUGCUUUCUUCCUCUUCAUUUCCCCUUUUCUUCAUCAUCUUCUUCAUUUCCCAAAACGAAACCGACACGGUUAUCAUGUUUUUUUGGAUUUCUGUUUAAAGAUACUGUUUAGAUAUUGUGGUUAGUGUUUUUGUGGUUUAUAUGAUGAUUUUGUGGUUAGGGUUUUUGUGAUUGUGGUUGAUAUCAUGAUUUUGUGGUUAGGGUUUUGAUGCUACUAUUGGCCAAAUAGAGGUUACCGGCGAUUAGUGUGGUGGUGGUGGUAGAAACGGGUUUCCGUCGACGAGUGUGGUGGUGGCCGAAAUCAGAAAGGUUUAUCUAUGACAUUUUCAACUUAUGUAGAAAGUGCAAGAUCUGAACUAAUUAUUAUUUAUCUAAAAUUAUUAUUAUUAUAGAUCUGAAAUUAUUAUUAUUUCCUCUCAAAUGAUAUUGAAGGUAUUGUCUUUGUUGGUUUGUUAUAUUAUUGUAUUUUUUGUGUUGAAGGUGAUUGCUGUUUGUUGAUUUGUUGUUGGUGUGGUUACAGGUUGAUGAAGGAGAUGGUGGUGUAGGUUUGAAUGGUGACCAUAUGUUAAAUAUGGUGAGUUAUUACUACUAUCAUAUGUUUCUGAUGGAUAUGUUUUUUUUACGACGUGUGCAGUUUUGCGAUGAUAUAUCUAUGGUGGCGGCUAAACGUUUCCGGCGACGAGAGUGGCUGUGGAUGGAUUCGAAAUGGUUGAAGUGUUUUAUCAACUAAAAUUACAAUGGGUAAACAAAACACUACUGAGGCCAUUUUCCACGGGUUUCCCAAUAUUGAUCAUACUUAAGACUUUGUGAGAAAGGAUAUCAUAGGAUGGCUUCAGUUUCUACGCCAUAAAGUAGGCUUUCAGGAUUUUCGUUUUGAUUUUGCAAAAGGCUAUUCACCAAAAUAUGUGAGAAUUAUCAACAACCGGGCUCAAUUAGUGCAUAUACCAGCCUCAUUGGAUCCUCGGAUACCGUUACCGUCAAAAGACUGCCCAAUUUGUGAUGCAACGGUUGGAGUUGUUAGGCACCACUAACAGUCUGAUGCCAGGCAGGAGUUAUUACAACAUCCUUAACUGACUGCAUGAACAAUCAGGAUUGCAGAACUUCAAUUCCUUAGCUGGAAAGUAGUAGCAGAUAACCCUGAUACAGGGAAAAUAGUGUGGAUUUUGAAUCUGCAGAAGCCAAAAAUAAAUCAAGUGGAUCAUCAACAAAGAAAUUUUGUGCUGCUGAGGUCCAUAGUCUCUUGGAGAGGGCAUGUUGUCUAUCCAAACAUUUCUUUGAGUUUGCAUAUUUUAUGUCAUUUAUGUCAACUUGAAAGUUUUCACUUUGCAUUUACAUCAAAAGGCUUUGUGAUCGGAUCUUAUUCUAUAACUUUUGUAAUCAUAUCACACGGGGCACAAAAUUGUUUUCUUUCCAAUUAGUUGGAUAAAACUUAGGUAGUGUUCUAUAGGUGCUACUCGAGUUGUUCAAUAUGUCAUAUACAUUACAUUUUUUAGUUAAACUUGACUUUUAAA